rnacentral:rRNA from 1 species
GUCGAGAAUUUUGGGCAAUGGACGAAAGUCUGACCCAGCAAUGCCGCGUGCGGGAUGAAGGUCUUCGGAUUGUAAACCGCUGUCGAGGGGGACGAAAUAUGACGGUACCCCUGGAGGAAGCCACGGCUAACUACGUGCCAGCAGCCGCGGUAAUACGUAGGUGGCGAGCGGUGUUCGGAUUUAUUGGGCGUAAAGGGUCCGCAGGGGGUUGAUUAAGUCUGACGUGAAAUCUCUGAGCUCAACUCAGAAAUUGCGUUGGAGACUGGUUGACUAGAGUGGUGGAGAGGUAAUUGGAAUUCCAGGUGUAGCGGUGGAAUGCGUAGAUAUCUGGAAGAACAUCGAAAGCGAAGGCAGAUUACUGGACAACAACUGACCCUCAGGGACGAAAGCAUGGGGAGCAAACAGGAUUAGAAACCCCAGUAGUCC